rnacentral:rRNA from 1 species
AAAUUGAAGAGUUUGAUCAUGGCUCAGAUUGAACGCUGGCGGCAGGCCUAACACAUGCAAGUCGAGCGGUAGCACAGAGAGCUUGCUCUCGGGUGACGAGCGGCGGACGGGUGAGUAAUGUCUGGGAAACUGCCUGAUGGAGGGGGGUAACUACUGGAAACGGUGGCUAAUACCGCAUAA